rnacentral:rRNA from 1 species
CACGCAGGCGGAUAAUUAAGUGAGAUGUGAAAUCCCCGAGCUUAACUUGGGAAUUGCAUUUCAUACUGGUUAUCUAGAGUCUUGUAGAGAGGGGUAGAAUUCCACGUGUAGCGGUGAAAUGCGUAAAGAUGUGGAGGAAUACCGGAGGCGAAGGCGGCCCCUUGGACAAAGACUGACGCUCAUGUGCGAAAGCGUGGGGAGCAAACA